rnacentral:rRNA from 1 species
GUUGGUGAACCAAAUAAUUUGCAUGAUGCUCUAGCACAUAAAGAUUGGAAGGAGGCUAUGGAUAAAGAAUAUGAUGCACUCAUGAAAAAUAGAACUUGGCACUUAGUACCCUCAAGGCAAGGUAGCAAUGUUAUAGACUGCAAAUGGGUAUAUAAGAUAAAAAGAAAAUCUGAUGGAAGUAUAGACAGAUACAAGGCUAGAUUAGUUGCCAAAGGUUUUAAGCAGAGAUUUGGUAUUGAUUAUGAAGAUACUUUUAGUCAUGUUGUUAAGGCGGCUACUAUUCGACUUGUAUUGUCUAUUGCUGUUUCCAGAGGAUGGAGUUUACGGCAGCUAGAUGUUCAGAACGCGUUUCUUCAUGGUGUUCUUGAGGAAGAAGUGUUCAUGCGGCAGCCACCUGGAUAUGAGAAUCAAAGCACACCACAUUAUGUUUGUAAGUUGGAUAAAGCUUUGUAUGGUUUGAAACAAGCCCCAAGAGCUUGGUACUCAAGGUUGAGCAUGCAGUUGCAACAACUUGGAUUUACACCAUCUAAAGUUGAUACUUCAUUGUUCUUUUAUCAUAAAGACAAGAUCACUAUAUUUGUACUUGUUUAUGUUGAUGAUAUAAUUGUUGUAAGCUCAAGUUCAGAGGCCACCACUUGUUUGCUUAAAGAUCUAAAGUUGGAAUUUGCUCUCAAGGACUUGGGUGAUCUUCACUACUUUCUUGGCAUAGAGGUCAACCGAGUCAAAGAUGGUAUUCUUCUUACGCAGGAGAAGUACACUGCUGAUAUACUCAAGAGAGUAGGACUGCACAAUUGCAAACCUGUGAGUACACCAAUUUCAACUUCUGAAAAACUUACAGUUGAGAGUGGAGAAGCACUUGGAUCAGAG